GUGGGGAAUAUUGGACAAUGGGCGAAAGCCUGAUCCAGCCAUGCCGCGUGUGUGAAGAAGGUCUUCGGAUUGUAAAGCACUUUAAGUUGGGAGGAAGGGCAGUAAGUUAAUACCUUGCUGUUUUGACGUUACCGACAGAAUAAGCACCGGCUAACUUCGUGCCAGCAGCCGCGGUAAUACGAAGGGUGCAAGCGUUAAUCGGAAUUACUGGGCGUAAAGCGAGCGUAGGUGGUUUUGUAAGUUGGAGGUGAAAUCCACGGGCUCAACCUGGGAACUACCUCCAAAACUGCAUGACUAGAGUACGGUAGAGGGUAGUGGAAUUUCCUGUGUAGCGGUGAAAUGCGUAGAUAUAGGAAGGAACACCAGUGGCGAAGGCGACUACCUGGACUGAUACUGACACUGAGGUGCGAAAGCGUGGGGAGCAAACAGGAUUAGAAACCCGUGUAGUCC
rnacentral:rRNA from 1 species